AAUUAGCGGCCUCAGCUUCACCUUCACUCAUUGAUACCUCGCGAACUGAAGCACUCUCGUCACACUUGUUGCCGACCUGUCAAGAAUCAACAUCACGCCAUACAAUAUAUAGAUAUCAAAAAACUAUUGAAUGAAUAGACUUUAUAAACUAGACAGAAGAGAAGAAAAUGAAAGGAGAGAGUGCCCUUAACUCGGUGAUAUUAACCUUUUAGUUGGGUUGACUUAACAUGCUUACCAGCAUUAUCGGAAUUUGGGAGAUAUCCUGUCCUUUAAGCUCCCGUAUCACCGCCCAGAUUGAUCGUAAUUCUUCAAGGCUUUGCCGCGAG